UAGGGAAUAUUCCACAAUGAGCGAAAGCUUGAUGGAGCGACACAGCGUGCACGAUGAAGGCCCUCGGGUUGUAAAGUGCUGUUGCAAGGGAAGAACAGUUAGUUGAGGAAAUGCUUCUAAUCUGACGGUACCUUGUUAGAAAGCGAUGGCUAACUAUGUGCCAGCAGCCGCGGUAAUACAUAGGUCGCAAGCGUUAUCCGGAAUUAUUGGGCGUAAAGCGUUCGUAGGCUGUUUAUUAAGUCUGGAGUCAAAUCCCAGGGCUCAACCCUGGCUCGCUUUGGAUACUGGUAAACUAGAGUUAGAUAGAGGUAAGCGGAAUUCCAUGUGGAGCGGUGAAAUGCGUAGAUAUAUGGAAGAACACCAAAGGCGAAGGCAGCUUACUGGGCCUAUACUGACGCUGAGGGACGAAAGCGUGGGGAGCAAACAGGAUUAGAUACCCUGGUAGUCCACGCUGUAAACGAUGAUCAUUAGUCGGUGGAAAACUACUGACGCAGCUAACGCAUUAAAUGAUCCGCCUGAGUAGUAUGCUCGCAAGAGUG
rnacentral:rRNA from 1 species